rnacentral:lncRNA from 1 species
GCAGUAAAACAACUGCGUCUCUUGUUCCAGUUAUUCUACACCAUGUUGGUCAUCACUGGAGCGUUUCAUGCCAGCUCCGUGCUGCACUCACCUGUGGGCUUCAUGUUGAUCCUCAUACUUCUCGUCUUCUCUGGGCUGUGCAUAAUAUUCUCGAUGGUUCUUAUAAUUGGACUUUUCCUGGACAACCGGCUUCUUCUCAUUCCAUGGCUUACAGUCGUGUCCAUGACAACAGUGUUGGAUUUUGGCCUCUCUUUGUACUUCAUCA